UCCUAAUGGUGUGACUCUUUAAUACAGUUC
rnacentral:piRNA from 1 species